rnacentral:rRNA from 1 species
UUAAGGAACUCGGCAAAUUGCCCCCGUAACUUCGGGAGAAGGGGGGCCUCCGCUGGUGAUCAGACUUGCUUUGUGAGCUGGUGGGGGUCGAGAGGCCAGGGGGAAGCGACUGUUUACUAAAAACACAGGUCCGUGCGAAGUCGUAAGACGAUGUAUACGGACUGACGCCUGCCCGGUGCUGGAACGUUAAGGGGACCGGUUAGCGCAUCUUCGGGUGUGCGAGGCUGAGAACUUAAGCGCCAGUAAACGGCGGGGGUAACUAUAACCAUCCUAAGGUAGCGAAAUUCCUUGUCGGGUAAGUUCCGACCUGCACGAAUGGCGUAACGACUUCCCCGCUGUCUCAACCGCAGACCCGGCGAAAUUGCACUACGAGUAAAGAUGCUCGUUACGCGCAGCAGGACGGAAAGACCCCGGGACCUUCACUACAGCUUGACAUUGGCGUUUGGAACGUCUUGUGUAGGAUAGGUGGGAGACUGUGAAGCUGUCACGCUAGUGGUGGUGGAGUCAUUGGUGAAAUACCACUCUGGUCGUUUUGAACGUCUAACUUCGGUCCGUGAUCCGGAUCAGGGACAGUGUCUGGUGGGUAGUUUAACUGGGGCGGUUGCCUCCUAAAGAGUAACGGAGGCGCCCAAAGGUUCCCUCAGCCUGGUUGGUAAUCAGGUGUCGAGUGUAAGUGCACAAGGGAGCUUGACUGUGAGACCGACGGGUCGAGCAGGAGCGAAAGCUGGGACUAGUGAUCCGGCGGUGGCAUGUGGAAGCGCCGUCGCUCAACGGCUAAAAGGUACCCCGGGGAUAACAGGCUGAUCUUCCCCAAGAGUCCAUAUCGACGGGAUGGUUUGGCACCUCGAUGUCGGCUCGUCGCAUCCUGGGGCUGGAGUAGGUCCCAAGGGUUGGGCUGUUCGCCCAUUAAAGCGGUACGCGAGCUGGGUUUAGAACGUCGCGAGACAGUUCGGUCCCUAUCCGCUGCGCGCGCAGGAGACUUGAAAGGAGCUGUCCCUACUACGAGAGGACCGGGACGGACGAACCUCUGGUGUGCCAGUUGUUCCGCCAGGAGCAUGGCUGGUUGGCUACGUUCGGAAGGGAUAACCGCUGAAAGCAUCUAAGCGGGAAGCUGGCCCUGAGAUGAGGUCUCCCACCACGAGAGUGGGUAAGGCCCCCGGGAGACGACCGGGUUGAUAGGCCGGAGGUGGAAGCAUGGUAACGUGUGGAGCUGACCGGUACUAAUAGGCCGAGGACUUGACCAC